AAAAUAUUAGAUGACUUUGAAAUGGACAAAAUUUGGAGACUUGUCUAUUUAUUAGAAGACAAAGAAUGGGAUAUCAUACCUGAGUGUUGGAUAUUGGAUGGAAAUGAUAGUGCCAAGUAUCCAACAGCUUUGGGAAAAGAAUUAGAAGACCUUGUGAAAGACGGAAAGGACCUAACGGAGAAAUAUACGAUUGUCAACAUCAAACCGGACGAACAAAAUUAUAAGGAUUAUUCACUCGCCUAUGAGGAUUUAGUAAGACGCACAAAAAAUAAAAAGACAGUCAAAGAGUCCGAAGAUGAACGAGCUCAACGCAAAAAAAGAAACCGCAUCACGCCGAAGCAUUUGAAAGAAGCUUUAGAGUCUUCUACUGGGAAAAAUUCGGCAACCUCCUCGAAAAGAGCCCAAAAAGGCCCUCCUUCUUCGUCAUUAGAACUGCCGAAAUUAACAGCCACCAAUUUGCUGUCUUGGGCAAACGUCAAAGACUCCAAAGGAAAAAAGAUCCUGCCCAAAAAAAAGGAUUCAAUUCCAUUCAAAGACCUGCCCAAAAAAAAAGGAUUCAAUUCCAUUCAAAGACCCGCCCAAAAAAAAUGAUCAAAUUCCUAUCAAAGACCCGCCCAAAAAAAUGAUCAAAUUCCACUCAAAGACCCGCCCAAAAAAAAUGAUCGAAUUCCACUCAAAGACCCGCCCAAAAAAAAUGAUCGAAUUCCACUCAAAGACCCGCCCAAAAAGAAUGAUUCAACUCCACUCAAAGUCUCCAGUUCUGAUGGAAAUAAUAAACGUCAACCCCAAGGUACCGAAAAUUCCAGUACUGAAGGAAAUCAAUCUGCACAUCAGGAUUCUCCCAAAGGCUCAUUGGAAUUGAUCCACAAAAGUCUUCGCCAACUGACCAAGUCAAACGAAGAUUUAAGAAAAGACACAGUAAAAGGUCUACAAGAUGUCAACUCCGCCCUUCAACUUUUAACCAAACAAAUGAAGUCUCCUUCAGUGAACUGCACUGAAAGCUUACCAACUCAUCUACCACGGGCUGAAGUAAAAGAAGAAGUUUUGGCUGGUUUACCUCUAAUGGAUAAGGCUGGUUUAAAGAAAUUCAACGAAGACUUGAGCAACAAGGAAUUUUAUAAACACGCGGUCAGUGCAUUAGCAUACACAGCUGCAAAAGCUAAACAUUCCACUGGCACUGCCCGGAAUGUUCUUCGAAAAAUAUUGUCAAAUAAAAUUACCGGCAAAUUUACUUGGAUUGGUCAGAAAAGGACCAUUAAGGACCGUGAUGGGGAGAGAAAAAUUGAAAAGAAAAUACCAUUCAGCCGCUUGCGAUUGAAAAAGCUCAUGAUGGAUGUGACCAUGAUUUUGCAACAAAAAGUUGUCACGGAGGAAGAGGUUAAAGACUCCAUCAACGGUUGGUUCUCCCAAACAUCAAAGGCAAAAGGGAACAAAAAAAAUGCUUGUCAGAGCAACUUACUUUUGGAGAUAACAGAUGAAGAUUGGCCUUCUGACGAUGAUAAUGAAGAUGAUGAAACAGACGAAGCCACUGAUGACAACGACGAUUGUGAAGAAGAGGAAACCCUCAAUGAAUAUGAAAACGAUGGAGACACCACUGAUGAAGAACGUGAGGAAAAUGAAGAAAACAGAAACAGUGACUCAGAGAAUGAGAAUUCAAGUGGAGAGAGAGACGGUGCCAAUGAUGGAAUGCAAGUUGAUUAAUUCUUACAAUUUUUACAGAUGUCUCAGUUUCAUACCUGAAGAGUAUGAAGAAAGAAGGUAACCUAGUCCAUUUUUCAACAUUUAGCAAGUUCUGUAAUUUCAAGCCCUGCUUUAAGUAUGAUUUUUUCAAAAUUGUAAAACAAUAUUUCUUCCUAUAUUGAACUUCCUUUCCAUAUUAAUUAUUACAAUGUUGAAUUAAAGGCUUGCACAAUUUUAAUAACAUUUGAAUGGGCUUAUCACCUUCUUUCUAUGUACUUAUUACUCUUUCUCCGCACACACUCAGUUAGUUUCCAUAGUAUUACCAUUUUUUGAUUAAUAAAUGGGCCUCUAAAUAAGGCUAAAACUAGAAGAGAUUCAGAAGAGGAGUGCUCACAGUACCCUAAAGAAGUUCAUUUCUUUCCACGUACUUGUUAUCUUUUCCCCGUACGCACUUAGUUAUUUUUCAUGGUAUUACCAUUUUUUGAUUAUUUUUUUGAAAGUAGCUCAGCUACUCUUGUGAUUUUUGCUGUAUUUUUUCUAUCUCUCUAUGUGCGAUAAACAUUCUGUUGUUCCUAUCGAUACUGUAGGCAAUUUUUUUGAUACCUAAGGUGAUUCUUGCUAGUGUUAAAAUUUGGCUCGAUCAUGAGCUUUUUCAAUCGCAAGCGGCUGAAUGGUAUUUUCUUUUCAAUUUUGUCUUAAUAAGGCUAAAACUAGAAGAGAUUCAGAAGAGGAGUGCUCACAGUGCCCUAAAGAAGUUCAUUUCUUUCCACGUACUUGUUAUCUUUUCCCGUACGCACUUAGUUAUUUUUCAUGGUAUUACCAUUUUUUGAUUAUUUUUUUGAAAGUAGCUCAGCUACUCUUGUGAUUUUUGCUGUAUUUUUUUCUAUGUCUCUAUGUGCGAUAAACAUUCUGUUGUUCCUAUCGAUACUGUAGGCAAUUUUUUUGAUACCUAAGGUGAUUCUUGCUAGUGUUAAAAUUUGGCUCGAUCAUGAGCUUUUUCAAUCGCAAGCGGCUGAAUGGUAUUUUCUUUUCAAUUUUGUCUUAAUAAGGCUAAAACUAGAAGAGAUUCAGAAGAGGAGUGCUCACAGUGCCCUAAAGAAGUUCAUUUCUUUCCACGUACUUGUUAUCUUUUCCCCGUACGCACUUAGUAAUUUUUCAUGGUAUUACCAUUUUUUGAUUAUUUUUUUGAAAGUAGCUCAGCUACUCUUGUGAUUUUUGCUGUAUUUUUUUCUAUCUCUCUAUGUGCGAUAAACAUUCUGUUGUUCCUAUCGAUACUGUAGGCAAUUUUUUUGAUACCUAAGGUGAUUCUUGCUAUUAUCAUUCAGAAGAGGAGUCCUCUUAGUGCCCUAAAGAAGUUCAUUUCGCUUAAUUUUUUAGUGCCGAGAAAAACAUUAUAGACCAAUCAACCAUUUGCUAAAGUUUAAAAGUUUUAAAAUUUAUUAAAAAUAAAACUUUAUUUCUUGGAAAGGAGUUUGUGAAAACUUGCUGAAAAUUAAUAAAAUCUCUAAAUAAGGCUAAAACUAGAAAAAUGCCGAAUUAGUUAAUAAAAUAGGAAUCACAAACUUUAAAACUCAAAACUUUCCUUAUGUUAUUGAUUUGUCCAGACCCUUCGAAACACCAUCCGGGCAAUCAAUAACGUAAGGAAAAUUUCUAGUUUUUAAGUUUGCGAUGAUAGGAAAAUGCACACCUAAGCUUAUACAGGAUAUCCCAAAUGUAACGAAUCAAAAUUUCAGGGUGUAUUUCGAGGAUCAAAAGAAGACUUUUUUUUUAUUUUGCAAAUUAAUUUACCGAUUAUUUAUCUAAUUUUUGAAUAAAAUGUAUUUUCCCAUUACUGUAGGGAUUUUUCUCAGUUCUUUGAAUGUAACUGAUCUGUGAUUUUCUGUGAGUUCAAACUUCUCCUUGUGUUCGAGUCAUAAUCCUGUAUUUUCAGGAGCAGAGACUUUUAAAUAUAUAUUUAAGUGUAAUGUAGUACAUUUCAUAAAUUGCUCAUUCAACUCGUAACAUAUUCCACACUACAGUAUAUUUGACUCUACCUUUUCUACUUGUUAAAGUUUUUCAUUCUGGCAUACUGCUAUUUUAAUUGUAUGUUUCCCAUUUGUUCAAUUUUCUAUUUUGUGCAAAUUAAUGUUCAAAUAAUGUAUUAAUUUUUCUAUCAUUGAUUUUCUAAUAAUUUGUUCUUGAAUAAAAUUUCAAUUUUCUUUUCUGCAAGGAUAUAUCUUCGUUCUAUUAACGUAGCUGCACUUCUGUGUUCCAAGUUCAAACUUAUCAUGUUGCAAUCAUAAUUAAGUAUGUGUUUUCAGUCGAGCUGCUUCUGAAUAGAUUAAAGUUGUGAACAAUAUUACUGAUUAAGCUUAAAAGUAAUUCUCUUUAUUUUUUACUGGUAGAAACAAUUUUCAAUCAAUUGACUGUUAAAAAAAUUACUCAAAUUAAUGCACGAGUUGAAAAAAUCGAUAAGAGAAAAAUACCAUAUUUCCUUCAAAAGAAUUCACAAAAACCAUACAUUUUAGUGCCAUUAAAAUUAUAAGAAAUAAACUCAUUUUUUAAUGAUAAAAGUUAAUUAAUUUUGAUUUAAUUAAACAGAUUGUUUGUGUUGUAAAAGAGAAAGAAAAAAAAGUAUCUAACUUGUAAAGGUACUUAUGAAAGCUUGACAAAAAAUUAUGUUUUAAAUUCUUAAGGAAAACCUAAAUUUUAAGUUUGAGAAAAUACAUUUCUACUUAAAAAAAUAUUACCUAAUUAACUUUAAAAUGUUAGUGAAAAUUCUAUAAUUUUUUACAUGGUUUUAACACUACAUAAUAGUACAUAAAACUCUUAAAGAAAGUAUUAAUUUUUAAGUUUAAGGAAACACAUUUUAAGUAAAAAACGGUUUUUAAAUUUAUAAAUUUUAGUCAUCAAAUUUCUAAUUUUUUCACAUGUUUUGAACAGUUAUUCAUCGUGUUUAAUAUGUUUUUUUUUUAUAAAAGUUCUACUUUUUCUCUUUUAAUUUUUAUCAAAUUUUUUAACAGUUUCUUAGUUAAGAAGUGUUUCCUUAAACUUAAAAAUCAAUACUUUUUUUAAGAGUUAAAAAGUUGAUUUUUUUUUUUUUUUUUAAUUUUUUUUUUAAGAGUGGGUGCUACUAGGGUUACCGAAGAUAACACAUUAUUUAUACAAUGACAAUAGCUUUUAGAAGGCGUGUAACACUAAAUUAGGCACAGCUGUAUUUAAAGAAGUCAAUAUUUAGUUAUCAGAGUGACUUCAAUCAUACGAUAUUGCAAUACUUUAAGUCCAACAGUGAAAUUGAAAUUUCAUCAGUUAAAUUGGUGUCAGCGACGGUCUAUUUACUCUAAACUUAGGUGCCAUGUGAUGGUAGAAUUUUCAUAUUCAUUGCCACAUUGGUUUGAAACCAGUCCUAUUUAGGCUGAAUGUGUGAACGGAUGUAAAAGGAUUAUCAUUAUUUACUGGGCUCAAGAAAAUUGUUGACCAUUACGAAUUUUUGACUGUCUGAUAUUGGUCGGCCUCCUCCUCCCCUUUCUUCCACCCUAAAUUAUGGAAAGAGCGAGAAAUGCUAUUAGAAACCUUAAAAACCCUUAAAACAUGAAUUUGUGUUGAAAUAUUUCAUUCGUCGCUUUACUGUGUACCGUGGUUCCUUAAAACCCCUAUAUCCGAUUUUCGCGGAAAUUGGAGGUCACCUCAAAUAAGCAUCCGAAAAAUAUGGUUGUACCGGUUUGUACCAUUUGUGCUUUGGUAUAUGGGAUCUCUAGGAUAUAUGCUUUCUAAAAAUACCAGAGAGAACCGCGCAACGAACCGCAAUGGCACUUUCCCAGUCCACAAUAUUCUGAAAAAUUCAUUUUUUAAGGCUUAUUUUUCGGGCAACUUUGAUCUCAUGCCCUGCAGCUAAAAAUCAAUAUUUUUGAGAUCUGCAAAAAAUGAAAAUAUUCUCCUUUCAAUAGUAUUACAAGAAUAGAUGAAAGAUUACAUUUUUUGUUCGAUGAUUGUGUUUUCCGCCAUUUUAUAAGAAGCGCAAGAUCCUCUUUUUUAUGGAGCAAUUUCUUCAUCUUUCGACGUUCAAAACCUACAUU
rnacentral:lncRNA from 1 species